GUCACAUGCUCCGCCAGUUCCAACAAGGCUGUUUAUUCUUCUUCAACGUGUGUGGGAUUCAAGGCAAUCAGUUUCUUCCUUCUAUGAAGGUGACACCAGGACUUUGAUACAGUGUCUGAGACUAGCACACCCAUGAAGCUAGGAGUGGUGUAGGCCUGAGGUACGUAGGCUUCAAAGCAUAACGCUAUUAACUUCGCAGGAACGUGCUGCCAGCCUCUGAUACCUUAACACAUCAGUGGACCUUAAUCAUUUCUGCUGUGAUACACAGUGACUCACUGUGGAAACCAGUAGGACGAUAUCAGUGGAGAACUUGACAGUUAUCAUAACAAGGAAGGGAAACGCGGCCAGCGGACCCCUUUCAUGAUAAUCUCAACAAUACAAUCUGUAAAGCUGUGUGAAACUCCACCUUAUAGGCUGUGUGCCAAGUAUUGGGGUGGCUAGAGGACGUGGUGGCCCAGGACAGACUUUUAUUUUCCUUUAG